UGGACUUUCUGUCUCCUUGCCAGCGCCGCCCCGAUGGCCUCCCAAAACCGCGACCCAGCCGCCGCCAGCGUCGCUGCCUCCCGCAAAGGAGCCGAGCCAAGCGGGGGCGCCGCCCGGGGCCCAGUGGGCAAGCGGCUACAGCAGGAGCUGAUGACCCUCAUGAUGUCUGGUGACAAAGGAAUUUCUGCCUUCCCUGAAUCAGACAACCUUUUCAAAUGGGCAGGGACUAUCCAUGGAGCAGCUGACACAGUAUAUGAAGGCCUGAGGUAUAAGCUCUCCCUGGAGUUCCCCAGUGGCUACCCUUACAACACACCCUCGGUGAAAUUCCUCACGCCUUGCUACGAUCCCAACGGGGACACCCAGGGAAACAUCUGCCUGGACAUCCUCAAAGACAAGUGGUCGGCCCUGUAUGACGUCAGGACCAUCCUGCUGUCUAUCCAGAGCCUACUAGGAGAGCCCAACAUCGAAAGCCCUUUGAACACACAUGCUGCCGAGCUCUGGAAAAACCCCACAGCUUUUAAGAAGUACCUUCAAGAAACCUACUCAAAACAAGUCUCCAGCCAAGAGCCUUGACCU